rnacentral:rRNA from 1 species
UACGAAGGGGGCUAGCGUUGCUCGGAAUCACUGGGCGUAAAGCGCACGUAGGCGGAUUGUUAAGUCAGGGGUGAAAUCCUGGAGCUCAACUCCAGAACUGCCUUUGAUACUGACGGUCUUGAGUUCGGGAGAGGUGAGUGGAACUGCGAGUGUAGAGGUGAAAUUCGUAGAUAUUAGGAAGAACACCAGUGGCGAAGGCGGCUCACUGGCCCGGUACUGACGCUGAGGCGCGAAGGCGUGGGGAGCGAACGGG